rnacentral:rRNA from 1 species
GUCUACACCCACACCACCCUGAGCAUACCAAAUAUCAUCUGAUCUCAGAAGCUAAGCAGGGUCGGGCCUGGUUAGCACUUGGAUGGGAGACU